CCUGAUAGCUCAGUUGGUAAAGAAUCUGUCUGCAAUGCAGGAGACCCCGGUUCAAUUCCUGGGUCAGGA
rfam:TPA: Bos taurus chromosome 15, whole genome shotgun sequence.